UGGAGGACCUUUGAAGGUGCA
rnacentral:miRNA from 1 species